rnacentral:rRNA from 1 species
AGACACGGCCCAGACUCCUACGGGAGGCAGCAGUGGGGAAUAUUGCACAAUGGGGGAAACCCUGAUGCAGCGACGCCGCGUGGAGGAAGAAGGUCUUCGGAUUGUAAACUCCUGUUGUUGAGGAAGAUAAUGACGGUACUCAACAAGGAAGUGACGGCUAACUACGUGCCAGCAGCCGCGGUAAAACGUAGGUCACAAGCGUUGUCCGGAAUUACUGGGUGUAAAGGGAGCGCAGGCGGGAAGACAAGUUGGAAGUGAAAACCAUGGGCUCAACCCAUGAAUUGCUUUCAAAACUGUUUUUCUUGAGUAGUGCAGAGGUAGAUGGAAUUCCCGGUGUAGCGGUGGAAUGCGUAGAUAUCGGGAGGAACACCAGUGGCGAAGGCGGCCUACUGGGCACCAACUGACGCUGAGGCUCGAAAGUGUGGGUAGCAAACAGGAUUAGAUACCCUGGUAGUCCACACCGUAAACGAUGAUUACUAGGUGUUGGAGGAUUGACCCCUUCAGUGCCGCAGUUAACACAAUAAGUAAUCCACCUGGGGAGUACGACCGCAAGGUUGAAACUCAAAGGAAUUGACGGGGGCCCGCACAAGCAGUGGAGUAUGUGGUUUAAUUCGAAGCAACGCGAAGAACCUUACCAGGUCUUGACAUCCAACUAACGAAGUAGAGAUACAUUAGGUGCCCUUCGGGGAAAGUUGAGACAGGUGGUGCAUGGUUGUCGUCAGCUCGUGUCGUGAGAUGUUGGGUUAAGUCCCGCAACGAGCGCAACCCUUAUGGUCAGUUACUACGCAAGAGGACUCUGGCCAGACUGCCGUUGACAAAACGGAGGAAGGUGGGGAUGACGUCAAAUCAUCAUGCCCUUUAUGACUUGGGCUACACACGUACUACAAUGGCGUUAAACAAAGAGAAGCAAGACCGCGAGGUGGAGCAAAACUCAGAAACAACGUCCCAGUUCGGACUGCAGGCUGCAACUCGCCUGCACGAAGUCGGAAUUGCUAGUAAUCGUGGAUCAGCAUGCCACGGUGAAUACGUUCCCGGGCCUUGUACACACCGCCCGUCACACCAUGAGAGCCGGGGGGACCCGAAGUCGGUAGUCUAACCGCAAGGAGGACGCCGCCGAAGGUAAAACUGGUGAUUGGGGUGAAGUCGUAACAAGGUAGCCGUAUCGGAAGGUGCGGCUG